rnacentral:hammerhead_ribozyme from 1 species
ACCCAGCUGACGAGUCCCAAAUAGGACGAAACAAGAGUGCUGAAU